AACGAACGCUGGCGGCAUGCCUAACACAUGCAAGUCGAACGAGAUCUUCGGGUCUAGUGGCGCACGGGUGCGUAACGCGUGGGAAUCUGCCCUUUGGUUCGGAAUAACAGUUGGAAACGACUGCUAAUACCGGAUGAUGACGAAAGUCCAAAGAUUUAUCGCCAGAGGAUGAGCCCGCGUAGGAUUAGCUAGUUGGUGUGGUAAAGGCGCACCAAGGCGACGAUCCUUAGCUGGUCUGAGAGGAUGAUCAGCCACACUGGGGCUGAGACACGGCGCAGACUCCUACGGGAGGCAGCAGUGGGGAAUAUUGGACAAUGGGCGAAAGCCUGAUCCAGCAAUGCCGCGUGAGUGAUGAAGGCCUUAGGGUUGUAAAGCUCUUUUACCCGGGAUGAUAAUGACAGUACCGGGAGAAUAAGCUCCGGCUAACUCCGUGCCAGCCGCCGCUGUAA
rnacentral:rRNA from 1 species